UACAGAGGUGGCAAGCGUUGUUCGGAAUUACUGGGCGUAAAGGGCUCGUAGGCGGCCAACUAAGUCAGACGUGAAAUCCCUCGGCUUAACCGGGGAACUGCGUCUGAUACUGGUUGGCUUGAAUCCGGGAGAGGGAUGUGGAAUUCCAGGUGUAGCGGUGAAAUGCGUAGAGAUCGGGAGGAACAUCAGUUGCGAAGGCGGCUCUCUGGACCAGUACUGACGCUGAGGCACGAAAGCGUGGGGAGCGAACAGG
rnacentral:rRNA from 1 species